rnacentral:rRNA from 1 species
AUUGAACGCUGGCGGCAGGCUUAACACAUGCAAGUCGAGCGGAGCGAGGGUGCUUGCACCUUAGCUUAGCGGCGGACGGGUGAGUAAUGCUUAGGAAUCUGCCUAUUAGUGGGGGACAACAUUCCGAAAGGAAUGCUAAUACCGCAUACGCCCUACGGGGGAAAGUAGGGGAUCUUCGGACCUUGCGCUAAUAGAUGAGCCUAAGUCGGAUUAGCUAGUUGGUGGGGUAAAGGCCUACCAAGGCGACGAUCUGUAGCGGGUCUGAGAGGAUGAUCCGCCACACUGGGACUGAGACACGGUCCAGACUCCUACGGGAGGCAGCAGUGGGGAAUAUUGGACAAUGGGCGGAAGCCUGAUCCAGCCAUGCCGCGUGUGUGAAGAAGGCCUUUUGGUUGUAAAGCACUUUAAGCGAGGAGGAGGCUCUUAAGGUUAACACCCUUGAUGAGUGGACGUUACUCGCAGAAUAAGCACCGGCUAACUCUGUGCCAGCAGCCGCAGUAAGAC